CCUACGGGCGGCAGCAGUGAGGAAUAUUGGUCAAUGGUCGGGAGACUGAACCAGCCAAGCCGCGUGAGGGAUGAAGGUACAGAGUAUCGUAAACCUCUUUUGUCAGGGAACAAAGGCGGGGACGUGUCCCCGGAUGAGUGUACCUGAAGAAAAAGCAUCGGCUAACUCCGUGCCAGCAGCCGCGGUAAUACGGAGGAUGCGAGCGUUAUCCGGAUUUAUUGGGUUUAAAGGGUGCGCAGGCGGUCUGUUAAGUCAGCGGUAAAAGCCCGGGGCUCAACCCCGUCGCGCCGUUGAAACUGGCAGUCUCGAGUGGGAGAGAAGUAUGCGGAAUGCGCGGUGUAGCGGUGAAAUGCAUAGAUAUCGCGCAGAACUCCGAUUGCGAAGGCAGCAUGCCGGCUCCACACUGACGCUGAGGCACGAAAGCGUGGGUAUCGAACAGGAUUAGAUACCCGUGUAGUC
rnacentral:rRNA from 1 species